rnacentral:rRNA from 1 species
GUUUGAUCCUGGCUCAGAUUGAACGCUGGCGGCAGGCCUAACACAUGCAAGUCGAGCGCGAAAGGCCUUCGGGCUGAGUAGAGCGGCGGACGGGUGAGUAACGCGUAGGAAUCUACCUGGUAGUGGGGGACAACUUGGGGAAACUCAAGCUAAUACCGCAUACGCCCUAUGGGGGAAAGUGGGGGACCUUCGGGCCUCACGCUAUCAGAUGAGCCUGCGUAGGAUUAGCUAGUUGGUGGGGUAAAGGCCCACCAAGGCGACGAUCCUUAGCUGGUCUGAGAGGAUGAUCAGCCACACUGGGACUGAGACACGGCCCAGACUCCUACGGGAGGCAGCAGUGGGGAAUUUUGGACAAUGGGGGAAACCCUGAUCCAGCCAUGCCGCGUGAGUGAAGAAGGCCUUCGGGUUGUAAAGACGUCUUUCUAGGUGGAAAGAAAGUACACUACCCCGAACUACGGGUAGGUGGAGUGACGGUACCGAUCAGAAGAAGACACCGGCUAACUACGUG